rnacentral:lncRNA from 1 species
CGAGCAAUAGGUCAUUUUUAAAAUGAAGAAAUAUGGUGUUAGUGCUUGGUCAUUAGCAGGUGAUUAGAUCAUCUAAAUUUAUAAAAUUCACAGAUAAAAGGGUUAGUUUUUUAAAGAAACUGUAAUGCUGAUUUGUCUACUUUAACAGCAUGUGCAUGCUAGUCACAUAUUGUUAGAGACAGUAUUCUCUUUUGUUUGUUUGUUUUUGAGACAACCUCCUCCUCCCUGGUUCAAAUGAUUCUUAUGCUUUAGCUUACAGAGCAGCGGGGAUUACAGACACAUGCUAACACACCCAACUAAUUUUGGGAUAUUUAGUAGAGACCUGGUUUCACCUUGUCUGCCAGGCUACUCUUGAACAUCUGACCUCAAAUGAUCCUCCCAUCUCAGCCUCCCAAGGUGCUGGGAUUACAGAUCUCAAUGAAAAUUAUGAAAGCAUUCCCUUUGAAGGAAAUUAGAGGUCAUUUCUCAGAAUCAGGUAUCCACACCGAAACCUGUAAGUCGUGACUAGAAUCACUUUGUGUCCACAGGGAAGAAAUUCCCAUACUAAGAUUAAGUAUUCCAUGAAGAAGUUUACUGAGAAGUCUCUGGAAGAUAAUCUUUGAGGAAGUGAAGGAGACUGGAUUGGGAAGAGCAAGAAGCUAACCAGUAACGUGAUUGCACAUGAGACAUUACAGAAUCAUACAGGUAGCUUGGGAGCUAUGGUGGCCUUUAUAGGUUGUCCCAAAUUAAAGCAAGGCUG